GUCUUGCCGCCGCGGUGCCUGCGGAUCCAGAAGAGCCCGCACAGGGCGAUGAGCACCCAGCUGAAGCUCAGCCCCAGGCCUGUCCUAGGAAGCGCGGGUUUGCCCCGCACGGCGGGAUCCGGGCCAGGAAGAGACUUUUGCCGCCUCUCGCCUAGCUCUCCUCAGUGCCACUGGGACCCCCUUCGCCUCGAACCCAACUUCACCUGGGGGCAGCCAGCCCAACCGCCCGCAGCGAGCACAGACCACCACAGGAACGAGAGGGCAACGUGCUGCGGGAAGAGGGAGUGCGGCUCCGGGGGUCGCGGCAAGGAAACGGGCUCUUGCGGCUGGCACGAAGUUCGCUGAGGCGCUGGGGAGCGGAAACAUGCUAGGGUGUGCAUCCCCAGGGGGAAAGCGCACCAACUGCCCGUUCUUUUCGGUCCUGUACGCGGUUGAAACGUUCCUACCCGUUACACCCUUCACUAACAAGCUUCGGGUUUUUCUUUGUUCCCGGUUGAGGGAUACUAUUAAAGGUCCGACUGAUCAAUG